rnacentral:rRNA from 1 species
AUUGAACGCUGGCGGAAUGCUUUACACAUGCAAGUCGAGCGGCAGCGCGGGGCAACCUGGCGGCGAGCGGCGAACGGGUGAGUAAUGCAUCGGAACGUACCCAGUCGUGGGGGAUAACUGUCCGAAAGGACAGCUAAUACCGCAUACGUCCUGAGGGAGAAAGCGGGGGAUCGCAAGACCUCGCGCGAUUGGAGCGGCCGAUGCCGGAUUAGCUAGUUGGUAGGGUAAAGGCCUACCAAGGCGACGAUCCGUAGCUGGUCUGAGAGGACGACCAGCCACACUGGAACUGAGACACGGUCCAGACUCCUACGGGAGGCAGCAGCGGGGAAUUUUGGACAAUGGGGGCAACCCUGAUCCAGCCAUUCCGCGUGAGUGAAGAAGGCCUCGG